ACGUUAGCGGCGGACGGGUGAGUAACACGUGGGCAACCUACCUUAUAGUUUGGGAUAACUCCGGGAAACCGGGGCUAAUACCGAAUAAUCUGUUUCACCUCAUGGUGAAACACUGAAAGACGGUUUCGGCUGUCGCUAUAGGAUGGGCCCGCGGCGCAUUAGCUAGUUGGUGAGGUAACGGCUCACCAAGGCGACGAUGCGUAGCCGACCUGAGAGGGUGAUCGGCCACACUGGGACUGAGACACGGCCCAGACUCCUACGGGAGGCAGCAGUAGGGAAUCUUCCACAAUGGGCGAAAGCCUGAUGGAGCAACGCCGCGUGAGUGAAGAAGGAUUUCGGUUCGUAAAACUCUGUUGUAAGGGAAGAACAAGUACAGUAGUAACUGGCUGUACCUUGACGGUACCUUAUUAGAAAGCCACGGCUAACUACGUGCCAGCAGCCGCGGUAAUACGUAGGUGGCAAGCGUUGUCCGGAAUUAUUGGGCGUAAAGCGCGCGCAGGUGGUUUCUUAAGUCUGAUGUGAAAGCCCACGGCUCAACCGUGGAGGGUCAUUGGAAACUGGGAGACUUGAGUGCAGAAGAGGAUAGUGGAAUUCCAAGUGUAGCGGUGAAAUGCGUAGAGAUUUGGAGGAACACCAGUGGC
rnacentral:rRNA from 1 species